rnacentral:rRNA from 1 species
UACGUAGGGCGCAAGCGUUAUCCGGAAUUAUUGGGCGUAAAGAGCGUGUAGGCGGCCAGGUAGGUCGGUUGUGAAAACUGGAGGCUCAACCUUCAGAGGUCGACCGAAACCAUCUGGCUAGAGUCCGGGAGAGGAGAGUGGAAUUCCUGGUGUAGCGGUGAAAUGCGCAGAUAUCAGGAGGAACACCGGUGGCGAAGGCGGGACUCUGGGCCGAUACUGACGCUGGAGGAGCGAAAGCUAGGGGAGCAAACGGG